rnacentral:rRNA from 1 species
NNNNNNACAAGAUUCCCCUAGUAACUGCGAGUGAACCGGGAAAAGCUCAAAUUUAAAAUCUGGCGGUCUCCGGCCGUCCGAGUUGUAUUCUGGAGAAGUGCCUCCCGCGCCGGACCGUGUACAAUUCUCUUGGAAUAGAGCGUCAUAGAGGGUGAGAAUCCCGUCUUUGACACGGACCGCCGGUGCUUUGGGAUGCGCUUYCAAAGAGUCGAGUUGUUUGGGAAUGCAGCUCAAAAUGGGUGGUAAAUUCCAUCUAAAGCUAAAUAUUGGCAAGAGACCGAUAGCGAACAAGUACCGUGAGGGAAAGAUGAAAAGCACUUUGGAAAGAGAGUUAAACAGUACGUGAAAUUGCUGAAAGGGAAACACUUGAAGUCAGUCGCGUUGGUCAGAACUCAGCCCGGCCAUGCGCUUGGUGCAUUUYCUGAUCGACGGGCCAGCAUCAAUUUCGACCGUGGGAUAAAGGCUGGAGAAAGGUGGCUCCCUUGGGAGUGUUAUAGUCUCCGGUUGCAUGCCACGGUUGGGAUUGAGGAACUCAGCAUGCCUUUACGGCCGGGGUUCGCCCACGUUCAUGCUUAGGAUGCUGGCGUAAUGGCUUUAAAUGACCCGUCUUGAAACACGGACCAAGGAGUCUAACAUGCCUGCGAGUGUUUGGGUGGAAAACCCGAGCGCGCAAUGAAAGUGAAAGUUGGGAUCCCUGUCGCGGGGAGCACCGACGCCCGGACCAGACCUUCUGUGACGGAUCCGCGGUAGAGCAUGUAUGUUGGGACCCGAAAGAUGGUGAACUAUGCCUGAAUAGGGUGAAGCCAGAGGAAACUCUGGUGGAGGCUCGUAGCGAUUCUGACGUGCAAAUCGAUCGUCAAAUUUGGGUAUAGGGGCGAAAGACUAAUCGAACCAUNNNNNNNNNNNNNNNNNNN